CUCGCAAGAGUGAACUAGCUAACUGAAAUCAUAUGACUCAUGAAUUUGGUGAUUAUGAUAACAUAAGGGAAAAAAAUGAUGUUACCUUAUUAUUAGUGUUGUCCAAAGCUGGUGCCAGAAGACUCGGUAAGACCAGAGACGCAAACGUUAGUCAUCUUUAUCAGGCGUAAAGGGUGUGUAGGCUGCUUUAAAAGUUUAUUUUUUUAAUAGCUCUGUAACCGUAAUACUCUCUAAUUUAGGUAGUAUAUAAAAUUUAUAAUGAAUUAAAUGAUAUUUAAAAUAUAUCCGUGUCUCAGAAAAAAAUAAAUGAAUUAAAGCUAGAAUCAAAUUGAGGAUAAGCCAAAUAAUACUUAGAGUAGGGGUUAAAUCCGCAGAUACUAAGGGGAAUACUAACGGUGAAGACUUUUUAUCCACUAUUGAUUGACGCUGAGAAACGAAGGUGAGAAUAGGAAAUAGGAUUUGAUACCCAGAUACCUCUCACUGUCAACGAUGAAUGGUGGUUGUUAGUUUUUGUAUAAACUGGUAACGAUGUUAACACGAUAACCAUUCCGCCUUGCGAGUACGGUUGCAAAACUGAAACCAAAAAAAUUACUCGGUCUCGAAGCAAACGAAGUGAAGCAU
rnacentral:rRNA from 1 species